rnacentral:rRNA from 1 species
UGACGGUACCUCCAGAGGAAGCCCCGGCUAACUACGUGCCAGCAGCCGCGGUAAUACGUAGGGGGCGAGCGUUGUCCGGAAUUAUUGGGCGUAAAGCGCGCGCAGGCGGUUUUUUAAGUAUGAUGUGAAAUCCCCCGGCUUAACCGGGGAGUGGCAUUUGAAACUGGCGGUCUUGAGUGCGGGAGAGGGAAGUGGAAUUCCACGUGUAGCGGUGAAAUGCGUAGAGAUGUGGAGGAACACCGAUGGCGAAGGCAGCUUUCUGGCCUGUCACUGACGCUGAGGCGCGAAAGCGUGGGGAGCAAACAGGAUUAGAUACCCUGGUAGUCCACGCCGUAAACGAUGAGUGCUAGGUGUUAG